AACGACUCUCGGCAACGGAUAUCUCGGCUCUCGCAUCGAUGAAGAACGUAGCGAAAUGCGAUACUUGGUGUGAAUUGCAGAAUCCCGCGAACCAUCGAGUCUUUGAACGCAAGUUGCGCCCGAAGCCGUUCGGCCGAGGGCACGUCUGCCUGGGCGUCACGC
rnacentral:rRNA from 11 species